rnacentral:tRNA from 1 species
ACGUUGUUUGCUGAGUUGGUAGAGCUCUCCACUGGAUAUUGAGAGGUCCCUGGUUCGAUAGCAGGACGAGGUG